UACGGGGGGUGCAAGCGUUGCUCGGAAUUAUUGGGCGUAAAGCGCGUGUAGGCGGCUUACUAAGUCUGAUGUGAAAUCCCAGGGCUUAACCCUGGAACUGCAUCGGAUACUGGUGAGCUAGAGGACGAGAGAGGGUGAUGGAAUUCCAGGUGUAGGGGUGAAAUCCGUAGAUAUCUGGAGGAACAUCGGUGGCGAAGGCGGUCACCUGGCUCGUAUCUGACGCUGAGACGCAAAAGCGUGGGGAGCAAACAGG
rnacentral:rRNA from 1 species